rnacentral:lncRNA from 1 species
AUGCCAAAUGCCUUGUGUUCCAGCAGGGUUCUUCUGGCAAACAGCAGUUAUUGGCCUGUAUGGGUGCCUAUGCUGUGUCCCCUUUCAUUUAGCUGCACUUUUGGCAUCACAACCACAGAUGGGCUGGGUUUAGCACACUGCUGGGCUUUGCCCCAGAAUCCAUGCAUGUUUGCCACCUUCAAGGUCCUCUUGGUGAUCUGGAGGCCUCAGAGGUUUAAACACUUGAGGAUUGCUAUCUUCUGGUGCCACCAAGCCCUGCUUCGUGCAUACUCUCACUAUGUGACAUGGAGAACAUGCUGCUUGGUUUUCUACAUAAUUAGGUAUCCUUGUCAAGAAGUUUGCUGGAUGGCAAAACCGCCUCUCCUGCGCUAUCAUUUUGUGGUAAAGAAGGUUGUGUUUGGAUCACAUUCUAAAUAGGCAAAG